rnacentral:rRNA from 1 species
UACGUGGGGGGCAAGCGUUGUUCGGAAUUACUGGGCGUAAAGGGCUCGUAGGCGGCCAACUAAGUCGGACGUGAAAUCCCUCGGCUUAACCGGGGAACUGCGUCCGAUACUGGAUGGCUUGAGUUCGGGAGAGGGAUGCGGAAUUCCAGGUGUAGCGGUGAAAUGCGUAGAUAUCUGGAGGAACACCGGUGGCGAAGGCGGCAUCCUGGACCGACACUGACGCUGAUGAGCGAAAGCCAGGGGAGCAAACGGG